UAAAUAAAAAUGAAGUAAAAUAUAAAAGAAAUAAUCAACUACCCACCUAUCUGGAGAUUAACCAUAGACUUCAGUCUGUGGUAUUUUAGAGACAACAAUUCUUUCCAUUUUAGGGAGCUGUUGCAUUUUGUAAAAGCAAAUGAUGACAUGGCUCAAGAAAUUGCUGAAAGGGGAAGCCAGUUUAUUAAGAACCACUUGCAGAUGGAUGACGUCACCUGCUACUGGGAGACCCUGUUGACUGAAUACUCUAAAUUCCUGUCCUAUAAUGUAACAAGAAGGAAAGGCUAUGAUCAGAUUAUUCCUAAAAUUUUGAAAACAGAACUCUAGUUGUCAUCAUCAGACCCCAGUCGUCUCUGGCAGCAGCUCUCAGAUAUCCUGUGGUGAGAAGCUUACCCUGAGUGUGGCACCUCUACCUUGAAUACUGUUAUCAAGCCAAAUACCUGGUUUUCCUUAUCAUGCUGCACCCAGACAACUCUCGAGAAAGAUCCAAAAUGUGCAUAAUAUGGACAUGUAGCAGCUCAACGCUUCAGCUGAAUAAGGACCAGAAAUCAUGAGAUGUGGGUUUUGAACACAAUUCUACCUUUAAUUUUCUUAAGACCAGUCACAGCUUGUGCCUCAGAUCAUUCAUACACAUAUGUCCCUCACUGUGAAACUGACUGUGUCCAUCAAAGGAUACUUUGUCCCAUUAUUUGGAGCCGAAAACUAAUCUUUCGGAACUAGUACAGCUCAUCACUGCAGUUCAGUUAUUCUAGGUUUAAUCUCAGUCAUUGUAUUUUAAUGUAGGAAGCCCUAUGGGGCUUGUGAGAAAUAGUUGGGGAUCAGUUCCUGAAAGGCCUAAGGAAGCGGUAGUCAUGCCAUGCAAUUAUGGCAGUUCUCUUCUGUACAGGUGUAAGCUUUUCCGUACUCAGGAGGUUUCUAUAAUGCCACAUAGAAAGGGGCCAAUUGCAUGAGUAAUUAUUGCAACUGGAUUUCAAGUUCCCCUUUUUUGUGCCUUCACAUAUUACUUCUUUUUAUGGUCUGUAUUUUAAAAAAAGAC